CAUCUGUAACGAAAUACAUAGCACCACCAUCAAAAAUCAUUAGCACUACAAUGAUUAUUCGAACGUAAAUAAUCAAAUCAAUUGUUCCAUGCGUUACAAAAAUAAAGAUACCUAUUAUCAACACCACUAUUCUCCUUACCAAUCCCUUUAAAUGUUCAUAAAAUCCCGAAAAAAUUAUCUUGCACAAGUCCUCGGUGCUAACCAAUCCCCUUUCUCUCUAUCAGGAUUCAUAUAAGAUUCUGUGGUUUUGUUUAAUAUUUUUGGUUGUUUUAUUUGAUAAUCUUUCAGUAGCUUUUCUCCGAUUGAUUCUUUUAUUGCAGAUUUUUAUUGCUGUUGGUGCACCAUAGAUUGUAAAAUCAGGGAAAAGCAUCAAUCUCAGGUGUCAGAAAAAUUUGGAGUUCUGCAAAAUCUAAAGGUGGCAUUUACAUAAGGCAUUUUAUUGGCAUCUAAUAAUCGAUCAAGGAAAUAUACUAUAUUCUCAGUAUAUUGCUAAUAAGAAAGGCAGUGUAGAUAUGGGGAUGCAAAGGCUGCUGUAAAGUAAAAGUUGGUGGUGCCUGCAUCGUGAAGUAAGUAAAUCCUCUCCUUCCCCGUUGCUCUCUCACAUGCAUUCACAUGAUGGUUAUUCCACAUUAAAAUGCAUUGUGUUACGGUUAAAUUCUUUGAAGUAUAGAGCCAGUGAACUUUUACUAUUUUUUGUCCUUUUCAGUCAGCAAUAUGACUAAUCCAUAUUGACAUUGUUGUGAAUAGAAAGUAUUCCCUGUAUAAGGUAUACGCCACCAUUAUUCAAGUUUUUUCUUGAAGUUCUUAGUUAAAUAAUCUCUUCAUAAAAUCUUUUCCCUGAUAUGCGCCUCAAGCCGUUUUGAAUUGCUAAUAUACGUCGGAUGGGAGCGUUGGAGGAGGGUUAAUUCUCUGCCGAGAUUCUUAGUUAAAUAAUCUCUUCAUAAAAGUUUUUUCUUGAAGUACUUGGGAUUUUAUCAUAGCUGUUUUGAACAAUCUUGCUGCCAAUGUCCGAAAAGUAAGCUUUCUCGUGUAGAAAAGAGGCGUAGUAUAAAAAAAAAUCGAGGAGAAAGGAGUUCCGGUAUAAUGAAGGUGAUUAACUUUGAUCAACGGUUAAUCUCAGGAAAAUCUUAUUGAAAACUUUGUUGUGCUGGCUGUAGAAGUUUUAUCCCAGUUGAAAUCUUAUUUUUAAUUUUUUUUAAUUGUCAACGGUUAAUCUCAGGCAAAUGUCCAUGUAACUUAGGGUAGAAGAUAGUCUGGCUAAAUGGAUAAUUUGUAGCAUGUUUGAAAACUGGAUAAAUUUAGGAACCACGACAAGAAACUGAGAGAGGAGCAGCAGGAAGUACUGGCGAUAAUAGUAGUAGACAAAAGAGAAACCUCGCCAUCAAGAAGAGUGGAGGAAAAAGUAAAAGUGAAGCAAACCUUGACAUUCAGUGGAAGAAUGAACGGUUGACAUCAUAGUCCGUUCAGUUUGCAAUUAUAGUUAUGAUUGGUAUGCUAUGUAAUUUGCAAUUACAAGAAUUCACACCUAAUUCAAAUUUCGUAGGUGCACGAAUGGUUUACACUUCAAAAAG